rnacentral:lncRNA from 1 species
GAUAGACAGUAUCCCCCACUCCUCAUCCCUCAGUAUCCCCCACUCCUCAUCCCUCAGUAUCCCCCACUCCUCAUCCCUCAGUAUCCCCCACUCCUCAUCCCUCAGUAUUCCCCACUCCUCACCCCCAAUAUUCCUUAUUCCUCACCCCUCAGUAUUCCCUAUUCCUCAUCCCUCGGUACUCCCUAUUCCUCAUCCCUCAGUAUUCCCCACUUCUCACCCCUCAGUAUUCCCUAUUCCUCACCCCUCAGUAUUCCCUAUUCCUCAUCCCUCAGUAUUCCCUAUUCCUCACCCCUCAGUAUCCCCCACUCCUCACCCCUCAGUAUUCCCUAUUCCUCAUCCCUCAGUAUUCCCUAUUCCUCACCCCUCAGUAUUCCCCACUCCUCAGUAUUCCCUAUUCCUCACCCCUCAGUAUUCCCUAUUCCUCACCCCUCAGUAUUCCCUAUUCCUCACCCCUUAGUAUUCCCCACUCCUCACCCCUCAGUAUUCCAUAUUCCUCAGCCCUCAGUAUUCCAUAUUCCUCACCCCUCGGUAUUCCCUAUUCCUCAGCCUUCAGUAUUCCCCACUCCUCACCCCUCAGUAUUCCCUAUUCAUCAUCCCUCAGUAUCCCCCACUCCUCACCCUUCAGUAUUCCCUAUUCCUCACCCCUCAGUAUCCCCCACUCCUCACCCCUCAGUAUUCCCUGUUCCUCACCCCUCAGUAUUCCAUAUUCCUCACCCCUCGGUAUCCCCCACUUCUCACCCCUCAGUAUUCCCCACUCCUCACCCCUCAGUAUUCCCUAUUCCUCACCCCUCAGUAUUCCCUAUUCCUAAUCCCUCAGUAUUCCCUAUUCCUCACCCCUCAGUAUCCCCCACUCCUCACCCCUCAGUAUUCCCUAUUCCUCACCCCUCAGUAUCCCCCACUCCUCACCCCUCAGUAUUCCCACUCCUCACCCCUCAGUAUUCCAUAUUCCUCAGCCCUCAGUAUUCCAUAUUCCUCACCCCUCGGUAUUCCCUAUUCCUCAGCCUUCAGUAUUCACCACUCCUCACCCCUCAGUAUUCCCUAUUCAUCAUCCCUCAGUAUCCCCCACUCCUCACCCUUCAGUAUUCCCUAUUCCUCACCCCUCAGUAUCCCCCACUCCUCACCCCUCAGUAUUCCCUGUUCCUCACCCCUCAGUAUUCCAUAUUCCUCACCCCUCGGUAUCCCCCACUCCUCACCCCUCAGUAUUCCCCACUCCUCACCCCUCAGUAUUCCCUAUUCCUCACCCCUCAGUAUUCCCUAUUCCUAAUCCCUCAGUAUUCCCUAUUCCUCACCCCUCAGUAUCCCCCACUCCUCACCCCUCAGUAUUCCCUAUUCCUCACCCCUCAGUAUCCCCCACUCCUCACCCCUCAGUAUUCCCCACUCCUCACCCCUCAGUAUUCUCCACUCCUAACCCCUCAGUAUUCCCUAUUCCUCACCCCUCAGUAUUCCCUAUUCCUCAUCCCUCACUAUUCCCUAUUCCUCACCCCUCAGUAUUCCCCACUCCUCACCCCUCAGUAUUCCCUAUUCCUCACCCCUCAGUAUUCCCUAUUCCUCACCCUCAGUAUUCCCUAUUCCUCACCCCUCAGUAUUCCCUAUUCUCCAGCCCUCAGUGUUCCCCAUUCCUCAUCACUCAGUAUUCCCCAUCCCUCAAUAUUCCCUAUUCCUCAAUAUUCCCCAUUCCUCGGUAUUCCCCAUUCCUCAGUGUUCCCCAUUCCUCGGUAUUCCCCAUUCCUCGGUGUUCCCCAUUCCUCAGUGUUCCCCAUUCCUCUGUAUUCCCCAUUCCUCAGUGUUCCCCAUUCCUCAGUGUUCCCCAUUCCUCAGUGUUCCCCAUUCCUCAGUGUUCCCCAUUCCUCAGUAUUCCCCAUUCCUCAGUAUUCCCCAUUCCUCAGUAUUCUCCAUUUCUCAGUAUUCUCCAUUCCUCAGUAUUCCCUAUUCCUCAGUAUUCUCCAUUCCUCAAUAUUCCCCAUUCCUCAGUAUUCUCCAUUCCUCAGUGUUCCCCAUUCCUCAGUAUUCCCCAUUACUCAGUAUUCCCCAUUCCUCAGUAUUCCCCAUUCCUCGGUGUUCCCCAUUCCUCUGUAUUCCCCAUUCCUCAGUGUUCCCCAUUCCUCAGUAUUCCCCAUUCCUCAGUGUUCCCCAUUCCUCUGUGUUCCCCAUUCCUCAGUAUUCGCCAUUCCUCAGUGUUCCCCAUUCCUCAGUAUUCCCCAUUCCUCAGUGUUCCCCAUUCCUCAGUAUUCCCCAUUCCUCAGUAUUCUCCAUUCCUCAGUAUUCCCUAUUCUUCUGUGUUUCCCAUUCCUCGGUAUUCCCCAUUCCUCAGUAUUCCCCAUUCCUCAGUAUUCUCCAUUCCUCAGUAUUCCCUAUUCCUCAGAAUUCCCCAUUCCUCAGUAUUCCCCAUUCCUCAGUAUUCUCCAUUCCUCAGUAUUCCCUAUUCUUCUGUGUUCCCCAUUCCUCUGUGUUCCCCAUUCCUCAGUAUUCCCCAUUCCUCAGUGUUCCCCAUUCCUCAGUAUUCCCCAUUCCUCAGUAUUCUCCAUUCCUCAGUAUUCCCUAUUCUUCUGUGUUCCCCAUUCCUCGGUAUUCCCCAUUCCUCAGUAUUCCCCAUUCCUCAGUAUUCUCCAUUCCUCAGUAUUCCCUAUUCCUCAGAAUUCCCUAUUCCUCAGUAUUCUCCAUUCCUCAGUAUUCCCCAUUCCUCAGUAUUCCCCAUUCCUCAGUAUUCCCCAUUCCUCAGUAUUCCCUAUUCCUCAGUAUUCUCCAUUCCUCAGUAUUCCCCAUUCCUCAGUAUUCCCCAUUCCCCUCCCUCAGCAUACUAACUUCUUACACUCAAAGGCUAACAGCUUUGUAACUCUGAUCGGCGUGUGA